rnacentral:rRNA from 1 species
UACGGAGGGUGCAAGCGUUGUCCGGAAUCACUGGGCGUAAAGGGCGCGUCGGCGGCUAUGUAAGUCACUUGUGAAAUCCCGGGGCUCAACUCCGGGGCCGCAGGUGAGACUGUGUGGCUAGAGCAUGGUAGAGGCGAGUGGAAUUCCCGGUGUAGCGGUGAAAUGCGCAGAUAUCGGGAAGAACACCCGUGGCGAAGGCGGCUCUCUGGGACGGUACUGACGCUGAGACGCGAAAGCGUGGGGAGCGAACAGG